rnacentral:rRNA from 1 species
UGUUAGGUCAAGGUGCAGUAUGUAGCUGUACAAAAUGGGUUACACUAUUUAUUAUGAAUGGAUUGCUUUAGUAAAAAGAAGCAUGAAAUAGGAUUUAUAAGUAAAAAAAUUGUUAAAGAUUUUAUAUGAAUAGAGAUUCUAAAAUAUGUACACAUUGCCCGUCGCUCUUGUUUAAAAUAAGAUAAGUCGUAACAUAGUAGAUGUACUGGAAAGUGCCUCUGGAAUUAGGGGUAAAUAGCUAAUUAAAGUAUAUUAUUUACGUUAAUAGGAUACCGUUAAGGUUUUACUUUUUAUUUAGUUUAAUAGAGGGAAAAGUGAUUAAUAUUAAUUUUUAUGCUGUAGAGGGGAAGCUAUAGUAUAAAAAUUAAUAAAAAAUUCAUUUAUUGUACCUUUUGUAUCAGGGUUUAUUUACAUUUACAUUUAAGAAUUUUUUCUCGACAAAGAAAGAUUUAAAUAGUUAAAAUUCUAAUGUUUCAUUAUUAGGUUGAAUAAUUAUUUAGUUUUGAAAAAAAUCAAGAUUUCUUUUAUCUAGUUGCUUUUUGAUUAAUUUAAUUUGUUUUGUUUUUGUAAUUUAUUGUUAAAAUAAAAAAUAUUCUUAGGGAUAAUCUUGGGAUUAAAAUUUUAGCUUUAAUUAAAUAAUAAUUUUAUAGGUUUAGAAUUAUCAACUUUUUUAAUAUUUAAAAAUUAACUUAAUUUUUAUAAU